rnacentral:sRNA from 1 species
UUUUUUAUUGGUGUAAGAAGGUGAGAAGCCUUGUUGGGUUCAAGCCGAGCGCAUAGCGCGAAACAUCGCCAAACGAAGAGAAGGCGACCCGAAGGGCGAAGGCAAAGCCUGAGUCAUCCCUCUCUCACCGCCA